GGAGAAAAAACUGAUUAUUUAUAACUUCUUUCUUUUCAUUUUCUAUAUCUAACAUUUUUUUCUCUCUAAUAAAAAAUAAAAUAAUCGCCUCUCUCAGAUUGAGAUUUUUCUCUCACUUUUCUUUUUUAAUGGAACAACAGAAAAUAUAAAUGAGGUUUUUGGUGUUUUCUUGUGGAAUUACCAGUCCCUUCCUCUCCUCAGGUACGUAUUUCAUACCCACGUGCAGAAAUUUGGUAUCAAGACUACUAGAAAAGACAAGCUGACACAAAAAAAAACGUGGUAUAAAUCAUAAAUAUAUAAAUUUUAAUUUGGCCUUAGAUAUCGUUUAAUUUUAAAUGUGCACAAAUACAUAUCUAAAUUAUCAUAAUUUUAAAUAAAAAGACAUACAUAGAAGAAAUCACGUGAUAUUAAUUCAAAUUUUAGAGUAAAAUAGUUUGGGAUGUGCUCCAAACAUAUCAAUACGUACAAAGCAUUAAUUUGUCAACAUUCGAAAGGUUGAGCAUAAGCCUAAUCAAUUGACAACCAGUAAAAUGACAUAAGCCUAAUUAGUUUGAUAGAAAUUUAAAAAGCAUUUUUCCAUUGCAUUCUCACUCCAUGAUACGAGUGCUAAAAAUUUUCUAUACAUCCCAAACUAUUUUUGACCUCAGUUUUCAUUCACGUGAUUCAAACAACCAUUCAUAUAUAUAUUUAGUAUUUUAAAUUUAAAUCAUACUACAAUGGUAAGGAAAGAAAAUGAACUUAAGUUACUCCCUUCGUCCUCUUUUUAAUUAUCGCUUUAUAUAGUUAAAAAUAAUUAUUACUUUAGAAAUUCAAGAAUUGAAAAUUAAUAAUUAUUUUUAACUAUAUCACCGACAUAAAAAAAAGUGUUUCCCAUAUCAUAUGUUAACUAUUGCUAUAGCUCAAAAAAAUUAUAUCAAAUUAAAAUAAUUAUCACCUUAACGAUACAAAUUGUUUUUAGCUAUUUUCUUAAUAUAAAAGAAAUAGAUUUUUUUAAUAUAGAAAUGUUCAAUUCAAAAACAUUUAAUAAAUAAGAAUAGCUUAGUGAAUUAUACCUUAUAUUCAUUUCUUUUUUUUACUGGACAUAAAAAGAAUCUAAAGUGAUCGUAAAAUUGUAUAGAGGGAAUAGUUUAAUCACCAACUUAAGAUGAAUUUUAUUUUCUAAGGACACCAGUAUACCACAUAUAAUCCAUCAGAGUCGAGGAAAAACUCAUGGUGAUUAAAAUAAACUAAAGUUUAAGACAUCAUAUAGAUAAGCAUUUUGCAGAGUACAAUAUUGUUAGAAAAUGCCUCGCCGUCCAUCAGAGGGAUUAAUUAAAAAAAGAAACAAAAACGUUAACAGUCAUAUCAUAUAAUAUUAUUAUUAAAAUAUAAUUUCAAACUUAAUAUUAUAAAGGUAUAAUGAGUUUAAUUAAUGCUAAUAUCUUUACAAAUUUACUUCGAAUUACUUAGUUGAAAAGGAGGAAGAGGGAGUCGGUGAUAUGCGUUUGCCUAACUAAAUAUUCUGUGUACUUGAUUAGUUAACUAAGAUCUUUUAAACAAAGACAUAACUCUAUAUAAAUUAAGGAAAACAAAAAUGUCGAUUGCUCAAUAGUCUACGUACCGACAAGAGGAGGAUAAGAGAUGUAAUAAGGUGAUGAAAUGUUAGCCAUAUAAAUAAAGAUGAUUGAAGUGGUUUAACAACCACUUUUUAAUUAUUUGAAAGUGAAAUACUAUCUACAAAAUAAAUUAAAUCCCCCCAUGUUUGAUCGUCAAAUCCUCAAACAUUUCCCAAAUGUCCUCUAGGCAUCCAACACGCUAAAGAAUACAUAUAUAUUUUAAUAGGGCUCUCGUAAGAUCGAAUAUCCUACUAAAAAAAAAAGUCAAUAUCAGAUUAAAUUAAAAAUCUUUGCAAUGUGUUAACUAUUAACUAUGUUUAAAAAACUUGAAACUAAAUGUGAACUUUUUUUUACAUAAUAUUUUAAAUUACAUUGCCAGGAUUAGAGAAGAUUUUUGUUGCUAUAAAUUAAAUUUAUCAGUCACUAAUUCUGAUAUUUUUAAAAGCAGUGGACAAGUAAAUGCCUGAAGUGUCAAUCGAUAUCUGUCCCAAUCCUACUGGCUGAUCAAAGUUGAG
rnacentral:lncRNA from 1 species